UCCUCCCAACACUAGUGCUGGCCAGCCCCGCGCUUUAGGAGGUCCUCAAACGGACAGGAGCCCUAGUCGCCUAGGAGACGCGGAGCACACCUGGGUAGCCCAGAGCCAGGUCGCCCGUGUGGUGACAGUGACACUAGGCCUCUUGUAAGGGUCCCACUGGUGUCCCUCGGCACCCCGAGUCUCUUCUGCCAGGCCUGACUCGCUUCAAGUACACGCGCCCACAGACUUUCCCAAGUACCAAGUGGACAUAGGAGCCGUGCGUAGGGGACGUUGCCGGGGUACUCUAGUACAGACCGGUAGACAUGGGACCCCAGAGUACUUGGGGGAAGGGCCCCAGGCUGCGCCGGGCUCAGGGAGUGGCCCCGGGACAGGAUCAGGAAGGAGGUGGGGCCCGGGGUGGGACCCAGAGCAGCAGAGUGGGGGAAGGGCAUGGGCCCGGGGAGUAUCUCCGCUACCCCUCGGUUCCUGGCAAGGCCGCCUAGGGGGCAUUCCUAGCCAGCGUGGCGUCAAGAUUAACGAACCCUUUUCUCCGCCCGGUGGGGCCCCGCAAUGCGUUGCCAGCCCAGCUCUAAGAGCCGGCUGUGGGGCGCACGCUGCGGGCGGACCGCCCCACGCCCUCUGGCUCCCGGGAGCGCAGCCCGCGGUCGCGCGCCCCAGCCCAGCUCCGCGGUGGCGGCCGGCUCAGAGAGCUUUGUGACGUCAGGCGGCGUCACGCGGGGCUGACCCGGCGGCGGCGGCGGCGGCGGCGGCGGCGGCGGUGGCGGGCGGGGGCGGCCUCCGGAGGCGGCGGGAGCAUGGAGCCGCGGGCCGGCUGCCGGUUGCCGGUGCGGGUGGAACAGGUCGUCAACGGCGCGCUGGUGGUCACCGUGAGCUGUGGCGAGCGCAGCUUCGCCGGGAUCCUGCUGGAUUGCACGAAAAAGUCUGGUCUCUUUGGCCUGUCUCCAUCUACUCUGCUGCCUCUGGCUGACAACUCCUCUGCCAUCAGCUGUCAUGGCCAGGUUCCUGAGGAGGGAACUGGAGAAGUGAUGCAGCUGGAGACAGGACCUCUGCCUCCUCACCACCAAGACCCUGAGAAGGAUCAGCCUCCCAAGACAGCUGUGCCUGAGCCGCCCCCACCUCUCAUACCACCUGUGCCUGCCGGGAACCUGCCUCCCUUUCCACCUUACUUUGAGGGUGCCCCCUUCCCCCACCCACUGUGGCUGAGGAACACCUACCAGCAGUGGGUGCCGCAGCCCCCACCCAGGGCCAUCAAGCGGACCCGUCGGCGACUUUCCCGAAACCGGGAUCCAGGCAGACUCAUUCUUAGCACAAUCCGCCUGCGGCCACGUCAGGUACUAUGUGAGAAAUGCAAGAGUACUGUGAGUCCUCAGGAUGCCAGUCCUGGCCCCCUGAACACCCCCAAACCCCGCCGGAGGCUAGGCAGUGGCCCUGACAGUGAAUACCGAAAGCCAGAGGAACCGGAAGACAGUGCCGUCAUAGCCAUGGCCGCACCAAGGAGAAACAAGAGGGAGAAGCGGGAAGAGGACAGGGUUGCCGGAGAGCGUAUCCCAAGGAGCCCAGUCAUCAAGAUCUCCUACAGCACACCACAGGGUAAGGGUGAGGUGGUCAAGAUCCCAUCCAGAGUGCAUGGCUCCGUGGAGCCCUUCUGCCCCCAACAGUCUCUACAGAAUGGCAGCCAGGACUCAGAGGUAUCGAGGGAUGGGGAGACCAAGGGUGGUGGAGACCGACCAUCCAGCGGGCUUUCAGCCUCCAUCCCCAAGCUGAAGCUGACUCGUCCAGUGCCUCCUGUCUCAGACCUGCCACCUCCCAAAAUCCGCCUGAAGCCCCACCGGCUGGGGAAUGGAGAGCAUGAGCCUCUGUACAGGGCUGAGCUGGUAGAGGAGCUGAAUGGAUGCCCACGAGGCCCCCUGGCCAGCUCCCCUGCUCUCUUUGCUGAUGGCUCUACCCAUGGGCUAGAGGACUUGUCUUCUGGAAGUUCUGGUGAGGACGAUGACCUCAAGAGAUUUCCCCAAGGUAAACAUGGCCGUGAUGGCUUGGCUUUUCUUGUCGACUGCCCUGGGAGGAGAGCAGACUGUACCAGUGAAUCUGUGUGCAGCAGCACCGACAGCCUGGAUGAAUUAAAAUCAUCUGGCUCAGAAGUGACAUCUCCAGACACAGGAGACCUGUCAUCUGGCGACAGUGCCUCUGUUCCUUCGUCUUCUGCUGACACUCGCCAGACAGUCCCUCCCCUCACGGUCAGGCUGCACACGCAGAGCGUCUCACAGUGUGUGACUGAAGACGGAAGGACGGUGGCUGUAGGGGACAUUGUGUGGGACUUCCUAGUGUUUGGGCCUCCUACUGGUCUUGGCUGAUCCUGUGUUCCAAAGCCUCCCACCAUCUAGAAGAUCCUUUACCUUCGUCUGGCACGGUCACCGACAGUGAGGGUGCAGCUGCUGUCCUGGAACUUCUGACUUCUGUCCAAGGGGCCCAUGUGUCUCUGGCUGGCUGUGUGCAGAAACCUGCUGGGCACAGUGGUUGGCCUGACUCCAGAGGAGCCGGUGUGCAUGGGGAGGGACCCAGCUUAGGACACCUGGCUCCUCUCAGCUGAAUGUAUCUGUUCAGGCUUCAGCGUUCCUAGCCCAGAAGUGUCCUGGAGCUUGGUGACAUGUUUGCUGCUUUGUGUGCUAGUGGCUGUGAGGCUUAGGCAUCCUCAGACAGAAACAGGGCCUUCUGCCCAGCCUGUGAAACUCCUGGUCUGGGUGCUGGGCCUCGCUACAGGACAUCCUCCUGGGCCUGGCCCCCGUUAUUCAGCAAGAGCCACCCUUCAGGCUUGAGGAAACCAAAUUGCACGUAUGGGGUUCUCCUCCAGCCCUUGGGUACAGGGUCUCUGUGUACUUGAGCCAGAAACCUAGUUGCUUCUCUUCCACAUUCCACUCAAAGCAUGGGUCCCUGGCUCCCAGCCCUGGCCUGCGGGGCCACCUUGAUCUGAGAUGCUGCUAUGUCACCAGGACUAGGAAGGGGAGAGGGAGGGCAGAAGUGAAAACAGGCCUCAGGUUAGGAGAUACCGGCUCUGCCCUGUGAGGCCACAUUCCUUUCCCCUCUGUCACUUCCAAGACCAAAAAGAAAACAGAAAGAAAAGAAAA